rnacentral:rRNA from 1 species
AAUAAGUUAAUUAAGAGCGUAAGGUGGAUGCCUUGGCUCUCAGAGGCGAUGAAGGACGUGAUAAGCUGCGAUAAGCUACGGGGAUUGGCACACACAAUUUGAUCCGUAGAUUUCCGAAUGGGGAAACCCACUAUAUUGAAGAUAUAGUAUCCGUUAAGGAAGCAAACCCAGGGAACUGAAACAUCUAAGUACCUGGAGGAAUAGAAAACAAAAGUGAUUCCGCUAGUAGUGGCGAGCGAACGCGGAACAGCCCAAACCAAAAUUGUUUCGGCAAUUUUGGGGUUGUAGGA